GAUGAAGAACGUAGCGAAAUGCGAUAAGUAAUGUGAAUUGCAGAAUUCAGUGAAUCAUCGAAUCUUUGAACGCACAUUGCGCCCGCCAGUAUUCUGGCGGGCAUGCCUGUUCGAGCGUCAUUACAACCCUCAGGCCCCCGGGCCUGGCGUUGGGGAUCGGCGGAGCCCCCCGUGGGCACACGCCGUCCCCCAAAUACAGUGGCGGUCCCGCCGCAGCUUCCAUCGCGUAGUAGCUAACACCUCGCGACUGGAGAGCGGCGCGGCCACGCCGUAAAACACCCAAUUCUUCUGAAGUUGACCUCGAAUCAGGUAGGAAUACCCGCUGAACUUAAGCAUAUCAAUAAGCGGAGGA
rnacentral:misc_RNA from 1 species